GCGCGUGUAGCUCAGUCUGGUUAGAGCACCCCACUGAUAAUGGGGAGGUCUCAGGUUCGAUUCCUGACACGCGCACCA
rnacentral:tRNA from 1 species